CUUUUGGUUCCAUAAGACUAAGAGAACUUACACAGAUGGCCGUGAACCAGGAACAUAGAUUCAGUUGGAGACAUCAGUAGGCAGGUGCAAAGGGUGUGCAGGCGAUUUCCAUUGGUCUCAGGUGCUAUCUAACGACAUUCUUCUCAGCGUUCAGAUUGGUGGAAGCCAGUGGCCUGAAGAACCAAAUUGCACAGGACCGAAGUGGACUCUGGCAACACCUUGGAGGAAGAAAAAAAAAGCCAUGCAUGUUUCAAGGUUCCAAGCACAAGGAAUUUUUCCAAUUUAAUUUUCAGCUCUCUCCACAGAUGGUUCCUUAUCUUUCUGUAUCUCCUGCACCCAGCAUAGGAUUGUGUGCUUCAGAAGAACAGCAUACAUAUUUAUAGGAUCAGUUCAAGCUUCUAAGCACAGUAGAUAAAGUGAUGAACAAGACAGAUGACUAUCUGCCCUUGUGGUCCAUACACUCAGCUGGGAAGUCCUGGUAAACAAAAGUCACGGAGGGGUAUGUACAGCCUCUCC
rnacentral:lncRNA from 1 species